rnacentral:rRNA from 1 species
CAGUCGCCGCGGUAAUACGUAGGUGGCAAGCGUUGUCCGGAAUUAUUGGGCGUAGAGCGCGCGCAGGUGGUUUAAUAAGUCUGAUGUGAAAGCCCACGGCUCAACCGUGGAGGGUCAUUGGAAACUGUUAAACUUGAGUGCAGGAGAGAAAAGUGGAAUUCCUAGUGUAGCGGUGAAAUGCGUGGAGAUGUGGAGGAACACCAGUGGCGAAGGCGACUCUCUGGUCUGUAACUGACGCUGAGGAGCGAAAGCGUGGGGAGCGAACAGGAUUAGAGACCCGAGUAGUCCCUGUCUCUUAUAC